GCGAGCGUAGUUCAGUGGUAGAACGCUGUCCUGAUAAGACAGAGGCCGAAGGUCCGAUUCCUUCCGCUCGCACCA
rnacentral:tRNA from 1 species